GUGGGGAAUUUUGGACAAUGGGCGCAAGCCUGAUCCAGCAAUGCCGCGUGCAGGAAGAAGGCCUUCGGGUUGUAAACUGCUUUUGUACGGAACGAAACGGUCCGGGUUAAUACCCUGGGCUAAUGACGGUACCGUAAGAAUAAGCACCGGCUAACUACGUGCCAGCAGCCGCGGUAAUACGUAGGGUGCAAGCGUUAAUCGGAAUUACUGGGCGUAAAGCGUGCGCAGGCGGUUUUGUAAGACAGGCGUGAAAUCCCCGGGCUCAACCUGGGAAUUGCGCUUGUGACUGCAAGGCUGGAGGGCGGCAGAGGGGGAUGGAAUUCCGCGUGUAGCAGUGAAAUGCGUAGAUAUGCGGAGGAACACCGAUGGCGAAGGCAAUCCCCUGGGCCUGCACUGACGCUCAUGCACGAAAGCGUGGGGAGCAAACAGGAUUAGAUACCCCAGUAGUCC
rnacentral:rRNA from 1 species